AGCCGGGGUCGCCCGAUCGGACCCCGGACGUGAAGUCGACGAUGGUCGGUGGGCUGGUUUUGGUAAGCAGAACGGGCGAUUCGGGAUGAACCGGAAGCGGGGAGAAAGGGCCCGAGAUUGCGUCGACGCGGAUCCCAAAAAGGGCGUCGAUCCGUCGCGACAGCGGGACGGUGGUCAUGGAAGUCGAAAUCCGCUAAGAAGCGUGUAAAAACGUACCCGCCCAACGGAUCGGCCCCGAAAAUUGAUGGCGCUCGAACGCAACCCUCGAACCCCGCCGACGGAGGCUAGGGGAGGCCCCGUCGAGUAGGCGGACGCGCGGGUCGCUUCGACGCUCUCGCGCGAGCGGGGGCGGAGCGGCCCGUGGUGCAGAUCUUGGUGGUAGUAGCGAUCACCCAGGCGAGAACCCUGAGGGCCGAAGUGGAGAAGGGUUUCUCGAGAACGGCACUCGCUCGAGAGUUAGUCGAUCCUAAGCUGCCGGCGGCAGCCACGAAACGGUCGAUCGGGCGCGAGCCCGGCAGCCACGACCGGGCAGCGAAAGGGAAUUGGGAACCUCCUUCCCAAACCCGGAACCGGAACGAGGGCGGC
rnacentral:rRNA from 1 species